rnacentral:sRNA from 1 species
CGAGCGGAAGCGAGAGAACGUUGCCAACGGCAACGGCCCGAAGGGGAAGGAGCGGAGCGACGAAUAAUCCUUCUCCCACCACCA